rnacentral:rRNA from 1 species
UACGGAGGGUGCUAGCGUUGUUCGGAAUUACUGGGCGUAAAGCGCGUGUAGGCGGCCGAUUAAGUCUGGUGUGAAAGCCCGGGGCUCACCCCCGGAAGUGCGCUGGAAACUGGUCGGCUAGAGUAUGGGAGAGGAAAGUGGAAUUCCCGGUGUAGCGGUGAAAUGCGUAGAGAUGUGGAGGAAUACCGAUGGCGAAGGCAGCCCCCUGGGCCAAUACUGACGCUCAUGCACGAAAGCGUGGGGAGCAAACAGG